rfam:Aedes aegypti strain Liverpool supercont1.117 genomic scaffold, whole genome shotgun sequence.
UGCCCAGCAACUCCUAUCACUACCUCCUCGUGGUACUGGCCGGGGUACGAGUAAACUUGGGGAAGAUCGGGUAACCAACCCCCGGUGGGAACUUUGGUCGUAUGCUGACAGGGAAGG